GCCUCCGCUGCUCCGCCGGCGCCGGGGCCGGUCAGAGCCGGGCCCAGAAAUGGCCCUUGCUCUGUGGAAGAACUUUCUUCAGAUUACAAUGAAAAGGAUACUACAGCAAAGAAGGUUGUCACUGCAUAAUGGUGCUCAUGGCUAUGAGGAAGAAUUGAUAAAGAAGAAACUUCAGCAGUUUUCUGGUGGAUCUGUCAACCUUGUGAAAGAAGACAAUGGCAUUGCAAUACUUACUUUGAAUAACCCCAAGUUCAUGAAUGCCUUCACAGGCACUAUGAUGGUAGAACUCCAGGAGAGGGUAACUGAACUGGAAAACUGGAAGGAUGGCAAAGGUCUUAUAAUCCAUGGUGCAGGAAAUACUUUUUGCUCAGGAUCUGAUUUGAAUGUUGUCAAAGAAAUAUCCAAUUCCCAGGAUGGGAUGAAUAUGUGCAUGUUUAUGCAAAACACCUUAACCAGGCUUAUGAGGUUGCCUUUGAUCAGUGUUGCACUAGUUCAAGGAAAAGCUUUUGGAGGAGGAGCAGAACUUACCACAGCAUGUGAUUUCAGGUUGAUGACGCCUGGAAGUGAGAUUCGGUUCGUGCACAAGCGCAUGGGGCUGGUGCCGGGCUGGGGGGGCGGUGCGCGGCUGGUGCGGCUCGUGGGCGGCGGGGCCGCGCUGCGGCUGCUGGCCGGGGCUGAGCGGGUGGGCCCCGAGAGAGCGCUGGGGCUGGGGCUCGCCGAGCUCACCCUGCCCGCCGCCGAUGAAGCCGCCGCGCUGGCAGAGGCCCGCGCCUGGCUCAGUCAGUACACGGACGGUCCGGCCGCCGUCGUUCGGGCCGUGAAAAAGGUCGUGACAGCAGCAAGAGAGCUCCCGCUGGAAGAUGCCCUAAGGACAGAGAAGGACAUUUUUGGAACUGUGUGGGGUGGGCCUGCCAACUUGGAAGCAUUGGUGAGAAGACCAAAACAUAAAUGAUGGUUUAUGCAUAAGAAAUGGGCUUGACUUUUUUGCAAACAAAGCUUUCAGUAAAGCAGCCGUUAAGCUGAAUCAUUUAAGGACUUGUCUAUUUAAAAUGGCAUUAACAUUCCUGCCAUUUAGGUCAGGCAGGCAUAUUUGGUGUGCAACCACAGAGAAAUCCCGGGCAGAUUCUCUGCUGUCCUAAUCACCCACUGAAUCGAGAUUAGUGAAAUUACUAUGUAAAGGUAAAUACUGUGCUGAAAAUAGAACUAUAAUUCAUUUGGAAUGAGGCUGAAGAUUAUUUUAUUUGGUGUUUUGUUUUGGUUUUUAACUAGUAUGGAGAUUAAUUACUUCAAAGAUAUGAGGUUUAUUCAUUUGCAGAACAGGUGCAUCUAAAGCUGCAAAAUAUGAGUUCCCCAACCAAUGUCUUUAAGCAGGUUGGAAAAGAUGAUUACUAGUGGAAGGAUAGCUUUUAUUUUUUCAUUCUAGUUAGUUCUUUGUGCAAUUGCUGAGAAAGUAUCCUUCAAUUUUAAUGGUGCUUUUACAGGAGAAGCUUUGAGUUACUGAGAAAAUUUUAGCAAUCAUUCGCUAUCACUGAUUCAGGCUUUAAAAUGUAUUUUGGUGUCUUCUCGCUGCUCAAGGAAUCAACUACCCACAUAUGCAUCUGCACAUUCCCAUAUCUUGUACCUGUGCAAAGCUGCUGGCCUGGUUCUUUACACAGAAUCUGGCUGAAAUCUUGGAAGGCAAUGAUGUAUCAUGUCCCAAAAAGGUUUGUCCUUAGGUGACUUCAGCAUUCUGGUAAGAUGUGAGUGGAUAUGUCUAUGUCUUUCUUCAAUGCAUUUUUACUGGUAGGGUAUACUUGGGCUUACUAGAAGGUUUGGAACUCAGUCUCUCCUUCAUGCCAGUGACUAUACAAGUAAUUGGAUAACUCAGUGGGGAAAGUUUUCCCUUUAGAAAUUAGAAACUGACAGAGUGCCUGCUUUAAAAAUAACAUCUGUAAGAGCAAAACCAUACAGACAUAUCUGUGACUGAGAGUUUCCUGUACUGUUGGUUAGGAUGCACUUGUCUCUAAAUCCAGCAGGGACUGAGAUCUGAGCCAAGGACCUGAGUACUCUAUGGAAGCAUGUAGAGAAGGAAGCUCUGGGCUUUGUGCCACUGACAUGCCUUCUUGCUCUGACCAGACAUAACUAGCUCAAGAUCAUGGAACGAGCUCCCUUAAGAAAAUAAGGCAGUAUCUUGGAUGGAAAUCCAUGUUAUGAUUUCUAGUGUGGCAGGAGUCCUGAGUUUUAGACAGUGAGGUAACUGCAUAUGUUUGAGGACUUGGGGACAAAUCAGUGUUGGGAAUUCGGGUUGGAUUGCCUGUUAAGAUUCUGUAAGUUUCGAGCAGAUUCUGUGAUCUGCUGGGGAUGUUUUACUGUGUGCUUCUGAAAGCAAUGAAUAUAGCAUGAAGCAACCAAGAGAAAUGCUGAGGAAAGGGAUGUGUUUUGAGUUAGCAUCUCAGAGAGGAUAUGGAACUUACCUCCCCCCUGUUGAUCCUGCAUCUUUGCCUUAGUAUCUGGAGCGCUAAUGGACGAAGAUUUAAAAUCUCUCUUCCCCAAAAAUAAAGUUCAAAUUUUUCUUUCAGGUUAGAGAAGACACAGGAAUGAGAACAUGGGGAAUAGAGUAGUGUUUUAGUUUGUGCCUUUCUCCCCCUGGCUCCUUUUUAUCCAGUAGCCCAGUGGUUACUUCUCUGUAGCUGGAUUCUCUCCCAUGCCCUAAAGAACUUCAAAACUAUUACCUCAGAAGAGCAAAUGCUUUAAUAUAAUCAGGCAGCACUUGACUGUUAAGUAGUGAAGCUGUUCUGCUUUUCAUGAAGUUUCUCAAGACUCAUGAGGGAUUCCAGACAGCAGCAUCACUGAACCUUCAAGGCACACUCCAGUCCAUACUUUUUGAAGCAAUAGCACAUAAUGCUGUUGUGAGUCAAAAAAAAAGUUUUAAAGGGCAACUGAUUAUGUCUUUGCUUUUAGUGAGAACAAAUGUGCCAUUACUAAUACUGUUAUUGUUUUUAAAAUUGAUAUGAAAAUUACUUAGAACCUGAGUAAGACCUUUGAAUCUUUUUUUUCUCUGGCAUAUUAGGCUCCUAAGUGUAUUCUGUGUACCGGGUUAUAGAAAUUUGAGAGGGAAGAAAUUGUAGGACAAAGGCAGAAUCUGGUUUCUUUCACAUUUUGAACCAGAUCUGUGCUGGCAGUUAGUGAAUGGUAAGUACACCUCUGGGGGAUCUCUUUCCAUUUUGAUUUAUAGACAAUGAGCUUAAUUCUCAUUUCAGCAAAUGUAUUUUCCCAGCCACCCUCUCUGAUUUGUAUCAAAGGCCAAUGUUUGCUUCUAAGAAAACAGGACAAAUAACUAACUAUUACACACCAAGACAGAUUCAGAACUGUUCCAGAGAGGGUUAUGGAAACCCAUAUUGCUGGUGUCAUAAAUAUACCAAGCAUAGGUACAGGACAUUCUGAAGAACAUUACAGGCUGUGAUCAAGGAUUUUGUGGGUAGUCUUAUACCAUAUUCUCUUACUAUAAAAGUAGAGCCCUUCAUACAAAAACCAGCCCAGCUAUAUUACCAUGAGUGCUAGGAUGAAAGUUCCAGACUGAGAUGAAAUGGAAUCCCAUUUUACCCAUUUGAAACCUAAAUGCGUUAUUUUACAGAAUACUUUCUUAUCAUCUUAAAGUGGCAAAUAUCUUUAACCAGCAGUUUUUAAAUGUUUGUAUUUUCUUUACAACUGUUAAAGAUGUCAAGCUUCAUCUCAGGGGUGUUUUUCCCUUUUGAAAUGGUUUAAAAACAAGCACUAAAUGCGCAAAAUAAAUUAGAAACAUCAAAAUUGAUAGUCCCAGUCCCCUAAUUAAAUAGCAUGCCAGCUUUUGUAUUUCCUAGGGGCCAGUUUGCCAGCUUCCUCCUCAGCAAACUAAGUUUCCUAUUACAUUGUGAAAUGUCUGUCUUGUUUUUCUUCUGUGUACUGGGCCAACCCAAGGGUUUAAUGGGAGUGUGGAUUCUGUACCAAGCCUGUAAAGGUUGGAUACUGGAGAUCACUUUUUGCAAUACACAUAUUUCUAUCUUAUUUGCUGCUGAUAAAAAUAUAUUUACCCGAUGGUCAGUCUAGAUAAGCAAGGUGUUCUUGCAGAAUGCUUGGGUCUCUAUCUGAUUUAUAUUUUUUUUAGCCAUGAAAUAGGAUUCCUGUAUCUGUGGUUAUCUGUUCUGGAAAUGAUGAAAUGCUGUAGAUUUUAUAGUAUUUAAAUUUCCUUUCUCAUUUUCCCUUCUGCUCCACUAUGCAUUUCUCUGGCUAUGCUGCACAACUUGAAAAUCAUUUAGUGCCUGGAAUUACAGUCAACCACAUAAUGCAGUGUGGCUGUGGCUUUGCUAAAAUGGACAGAGAACACAUUUCCUACUGAAAGUAAUGAUUUAACUAUAAGAUGGGAAUUAUCAGUUGCUACUUUUCCCUAGCUUGAUCUGGGGAGUGCAUUUGCUACUCUGAUGUCUGGCUAUUAAGGUCUUACCAGCCUUACUUUAACUAAUUUUAGUGUUUCACAGCUGCAGUCAGCCAGCAGGAGCCAAAAGUAGUAUCAUGGGUGUGAGGCUGAACUCUUUACUUGGGUCAAAAACCCCAAGGAUAAUCACCGAUAGAAUAAUUUGUAGACUGUUUGGGCUGUAAAUCCUAAAGCAUAUAGUGAGUCCUGUUCCUCUAUUUUCUUUCUUGCUUUUUUCAACCCAUACUCUCAUAUGAAGCAUGUGCACAUAGCUGAAGUGUUCUUCAUGAAGGCUUUUGUAGUACAAAGUCAUACUUUGGUUAGAGCCACUGCAUACUAACUCAAAUCAGAGAAAUAAGACAGCUAGCAACUAACAGCGAUAAAAGCAUUCCAUCCAGUUUCUUUCCUGAAGUCCAUGUAAUUGGCAUAUUUCCUUAUGGGACUGGAAGAUUAUAGUGAAAAUCUGUGAUCAAGAGCAUUUAUUCCUAACUGAGAAUGGAGGAAAUCUUCCUUAUUCCAUCCUAGUCUCACCUGCCAUUUUGUGACCCACUGAUCUCACCUGUAGGCAGCAGAGGAGGGGCACAACUUUGUCCAAGAUCAGACACAUCAUCCAUCAUUACACUAAGAAGAACGUUACAGAUGUUUAAGUCUACCAUUUUUAAAAGUCAGCCUUUUAAUUCCCUUCAAACAGUUGUUUCCUUAAAGCAACUUCUGUCUUAAGAUCAGUAGUACCUAUGUAUCAGCUACUGUUCCUUUCUAUUCCGAGAUACAGAUACUAAGAAUUGGAGUUUAAUUAGCUUUAUUUUAAAAUAAAGUCCAGAAUCAACUAAUGCUGUUUCUCAGUCUGAAAAAAAUGUUAAAAAACUGUUAAAGAACAGAGAGAUAAAAGACAAGCUGUGUUUCUCAAGAUUUGGCUUCUAACAUUCAGAAGUCUGUUGAAAUGCUACACUGCUAAUACAAGCACAAAACUACAAUUCCUGUGCUGCUGCCAUGCUGUUUUUGUAUGAACAGAAGAACAGCUGUAAUAUCCAUGUCCUUUGUUAUAGGGUCAACUUUGAUAACUUACCCUCUUUUAUCAACAUUUCUGCUGUUAAAAUAAGGCUUGUGUGUGGUAAUUCUGCCUGCCAUCAACAGUGAAGUGAGUUAAUCAGCUCUUCAGAUGUCUGUCAUGUUAACAUACCAAGUCAGAAAACAAACUUUGGAAUUCCCUCUGUUCACUCCCUGAAGUAGAGUUGAAUGGACCUUCAGCCAACCAGUUACUUUGGUACCUCCUUAAAGAAAUUUUGGUUCUUUCCUCAAGAGGUGACAUAGCUGCAAAUUGAACUUAAACAAUCUCUCUUCAGACUAUAGGUGAUCAUCUGUUUGAUUAAGGGACUCCCUGAACAGUAUCUCAGACUAGGUUUACACAACAGAAAAUAAGCCUGACAGCAGCAUCCAGCUGAAGAGUUCCCCCACUCUGUUUCUCAGUUCCCUUCCACCAUGGUACACUACCCUCAAACUGAAUUCAGAGCAACCACAGGGAUGCAAAAAGAACCAGAUCUGAAAACUGAGGUGGCCUUUUCAGAAGAUACCCUGGACUCCUUUUCCUUAAACAUCAAGUGAACUCCCUGAGAUACGAGUACCUCUCGAAAGGAAUCACUGCAGACCAGCAGAAGCAGCAGUGUAUUGUAGAAGACACACAACUCUGAUCUGACUGGCUUGUGAAGUAAUUGCCUUUACUUUUUCUGGCCAUAUCUUAUUUCUGUUAUUAAAGAUGAUUUUGUAACUGUAAGAGAAUGGGGAAUGCAAAACUGCAUCACUUUGGCAUUGUGUAGGAUUUAAGCAGUUGAAAAAUUCUAGCCUAAAUAUGCAAAUGCCUUCUCAACUACAUUUUUGCCAUGGCAAUCUUUCACGGUCUGUUUCAUGGUAAUUUUUCUUUUAUUUAUUAACAAUCAAAACCAAAUACCAGAUAUCAAAUGAGGGAGGAGAAUAGGCUUUGGGGAAUGGGGCCUAAAAAGGUGCCUUUUUUAAUUUAAAAUCCCCAAGAAACUUCAAGACUGAUAUUCAACAAAACAGCCUUUCAGUGGAAGUAGUCUUUGUUGUAUGGGCAGCCAGCUAGGAGUAGUUCAUGUUAAACUACCACAAGCAUGUGGGCCAGAAGGGACCUUCAGAGUCACCUAGUCCAGUCUCCUGCUCCACGUGGCACCAACAGCAAUGCUACAUGAGACCAGCUAUGGCUUUGUCUAGCUGGGUUUUUUUGAAAUCUGCAAGGAUGGAAAUACCACAGGCUCCCUGGACAGCCUGUUCUAAUGUUAUACACAUUUCUAACAAAAUGUGUAACCUCAAGAGAAAAUGCCUAGUAUUACUGUAAAAGCUUCCACUGAUAUAUGCUGGGAUUAAACAAAAACCUAUGCCUCAGUAUCUAUAUUUAUCUUUGCAAUAAUGUAUCGUGUGCUAUUUACUUAAAACAUUUUUCUGUAUGCUGUCUGUUUCCUUCUAUCACUAAAAUUUCCUCUUCAAAGACCAGUGCCUCUUUAAUCCUUUUUUUAUCAAAUAAUUAUUUUAAAAGCUCUACAGCUCAAAUACUUUUUCCUGAAGCAGCACAAAAUUGUAUCCAUCUACAUUUCAGUUUCAUAUCUGAAUUUCUUUUUCUGAGAUUAAUGACCAAUCUGCAUAACAGUUCUUAAAUCAGCAUGCCAGAUACACACACAGCAUUACCUUCCAGCUGGCAACUGUGAUUUUACUGCACAGCACACAUCUGUGAGAUCCACUCUAACAAUGUUGUGAACAAGUUGCUUUUUGGAAGCUGCACACUUCUGAGGAUGUAUUUUACAACAGAUUUUUAUAGCAAAUGUUGGGGUUUACACGAAGAAACUUAUUAGAAAAAGGGAGAACAAACUCUGUUGAGAUUUCAGACUACCACAAACACAACCCAACCAUCAUUUCACAACAGAAGAGCUGAAAGAGAAAUCCAUUUAUUGACUGAUUUUUGCUAACCAUGGCUGAGGGAAAGGAUCUUAAUUGUCAAGUGCCCCCACAAUGAGAUAGUACAAUGCAAAAAAGCACAGCAGCAGAGCUUUUGACUUCCAUGCUACAGUUUUACAAAAGGAUGCUUCUCCCUGAAUAUGCUUUAUAAAAUUAUCUUUUCAGAGUGAAAGAAAAGAUUAAAACAACCUGUAGGUAAGUAACUUCUACACAAGUCACCUACAUAAUUAAGAUUUUGGAGGUGAUUAAAAUUCAAUAAAGGGAUCAAAAGGCAAUGCACUAUGACAAACCAAAUUGUGAUACCAUGAGCUAAACUAAAGAGUUUACCCUGAGGUAAACUAAAAGAAGGAUUAAAAGUUCUCACCUGUUUACUGAAAGCAAAAAAUGCUAACAUUUGAACUGUGCUCAAUAGGUCACCCAUUAAUUUGAGGGAUCUUUGGGGUCCCUUACUAGAUCAAGAUAAUAAUGCAGGAUAUGAAAAUGAGUAAAUGCUUUUUCUCGAAAUUCUUAUUUGAUUUUUAAUGACUCUAAGGAAAAUGUUAUGUAUAAAAUGAAUAGAGCGGGAGGAGCAAACCCUUAUCUCUAAAAGUGCUCUGCAGGAACAUAAAACUCUGAUACGAUAAGCACAACUGCAGUUGCAUGUGCUCAGAAUGCAGGACAAUUAUGCACUCGAAGAUUUAUAUCAACUACAUGGAUUCUGUCUCACUUUUUGUUUUUAAGGCAUGAUGCUAUUUUUUCUUUAAUUUACCUUCUUAAUACCAAAUCUAGGUCAUGGGGUUUGUUUACAAGCUGGUAAGGGACGUACAUGUAGGUUUUUACUGAAGAGGUAAUCCUUCAGAACCGAGGACAAACAUCUUGGACUGCUAUUCUGCUAUGUUAUGGCUGUGGAAGCACUUCCACUGCAACUUCAUGGUACUAAGAACUAAACAAAACUGACCACACAGUGUUUUUCCUGAAAUUAAAAGUAAUAUUUUGUAACAAGGUUCAAUCAAAACAGGCUUUAUAUAAGAACUGUUAUCAAAUAAGAAAGCUCUAUUUUUGGGGGGACUGGGUUUCCUUUAAAACCCUCCUGGCAUCGUAGAAAAUCAUAUUCUUGAUUACUGACUACUUGACUAAGAAUUAACUAAACACAAAGAAUAAUUCUAAAAAUAAUUUUAUUUUAAGUAUUUCGAUCCUCAAUUCAGGUAUAAAUAAGGGACCAAAAAGAACCUGAACUCUGCAUUUUAACAAGUACAGCCUAAAACUGACGGAAACAGUAUGGAAUUAGGCCAAAAUCUUACAAGAUCCCACGUCUUGUGGUUUUUAUUGGCAAUAUUAAAUAAUACAGGUAAUUUCUAAGCUAUGGGUCCUUCAUCAAUACAUGAAGUAUGGAAGAGGUGAUGUAUAACAAUUACAUGAAAAGACCCCAGGCCUUCUUAGACUCUAAUGGAAGAAAAUGUAAAUUCCCACAAAACCACUUCAAAUUCCAGGUCCAAUUAUAACUCCAACUAAACAGUCCAUCAAGGAGCUGACAUGUUUAAGUUCAUU